GACGAACGCUGGCGGCGUGCUUAACACAUGCAAGUCGAACGGAAAGGCCCUGCUUUUGUGGGGUGCUCGAGUGGCGAACGGGUGAGUAAAACGUGAGUAACCUGCCCUUGACUUUGGGAUAACUUCAGGAAACUGGGGCUAAUACCGGAUAGGAGCUCCUGCUGCAUGGUGGGGGUUGGAAAGUUUCGGCGGUUGGGGAUGGACUCGCGGCUUAUCAGCUUGUUGGUGGGGUAGUGGCUUACCAAGGCUUUGACGGGUAGCCGGCCUGAGAGGGUGACCGGCCACAAUGGGACUGAGAUACGGCCCAGACUCCUACGGGAGGCAGCAGUGGGGAAUAUUGCACAAUGGGCGGAAGCCUGAUGCAGCAACGCCGCGUGCGGGAUGACGGCCUUCGGGUUGUAAACCGCUUUCGCCUGUGACGAAGCGGGAGUGACGGUAAUGGGUAAAGAAGCACCGGCUAACUACGUG
rnacentral:rRNA from 1 species